rnacentral:lncRNA from 1 species
CAAUAUGGACACUUACCACGCUGCGUUUUGGUCCGAUCCCUGCUACACCUCCUCUUCAGACGAAGAGGAUGAAAUCUGUCGUUACAAUACCCUUGCCUAAAUGAGAGUGCCACAGUGUCAUGAUCUAUGUUAUAGAAUGUGUUUAGGUCUCGUUACUGCAAGGCAAUAUACAUGUAAUUGAUCUUCGAGUUUAACUUUCCAUGCUAGGAAAGCAUAAUUUGGAGAUUAGUAAUUUUAUGUUUUUUGCGUUUUGGUGACUGGUUGAAAUGACCGUCUACAUCAAAUCCAGGUGGAACAUGUGUCACUAAAUUCAGGCAUAUUCUUGAUUUAAUAUCCAACAGCAAUAUUAAGUUAGGGGCCUACUCAGCCCAAUCAAAUAUUCAUUAAUAAAACAUGAAACCUUCACUCACCUACCUAUCCUCUGAGCGCAGUAACGCCCCUUUACGCAAGUGCAAUAGGCCUACAACUAAACCGCGUUGAGCUUGCUGUGUUGUUUAUUGUCGACAUAUCGGCAUAUGUGGGCUGCGCAGAAGGCGAGAGGCGACAGCGUGUCUCUCACCGGUGUCUCCUUUCAGUGACACUUCCUCACUAGGAGGUUCGUCAUUUAUAGUCGAAGCUUGGAGCACCUCAGGGUGUGUAAUGUCACAUAGGAGUUUGGAUUAUUUUAAAAAUAUUUUUCCAGACAGAAAAAACAAGCACAUCGUCUCAUUGUCCCCCGCCUAACUUUGGACGCUCAGUAGCGGGCUCUCUCUGGUCAGUGUCGCUUGCACUCGGAGGCUGGCUGUUUGUUUUGGAUAUGGGUGAAAUCUGCUCAAGGUGCGGGCAAUGACACAUAUAACAGGAUGAUGGACAAGGACGCUUUAAAAGGAAUCUUCUCUCUGUCAUUUGUAUGGUGUUUUCUGGUUUCAGUUUCUGGAGAGGUCAUCUCUCAAGAUGGCUACCUAAAUACUAUGCAGAGUGCAGGUAGACACCUCUUUUCCUCUUCCUCUAAUAGGUCUUGAUUUCAUCCAUCCAUCAUUGUGAUUCUGCCAAGUCAUCCAAGGACAUGGAUGAAUGACUCAGCAGCACUAAUUGAAUAGCCUAAAUCAGGGAUGGGCAACUCCAGUCCACGGGGGCCAGACUGCUGUCACACUUUUGUUCCAGCUAACAUAGCGGACUCCAAUAAUCAACUAAUCAUGAUCUUCAGUUUAGAAUGCAAUUCAUUUAAUCAGCUGUGUUUGCUAGGGAUGGAGAAAGUGUGACACCAGUCCGGCCACAGAAGACUGGG